GAUGAACGCUGGCGGCGUGCUUAACACAUGCAAGUCGAACGGGAAUUAUUUUAUUGAAACUUCGGUCGAUUUAAUUUAAUUCUAGUGGCGGACGGGUGAGUAACGCGUGGGUAACCUGCCUUAUACAGGGGGAUAACAGUCAGAAAUGGCUGCUAAUACCGCAUAAGCGCACAGAGCUGCAUGGCUCAGUGUGAAAAACUCCGGUGGUAUAAGAUGGACCCGCGUUGGAUUAGCUGGUUGGUGGGGUAACGGCCCACCAAGGCGACGAUCCAUAGCCGGCCUGAGAGGGUGAACCGCCACAUUGGGACUGAGACACGGCCCAGACUCCUACGGGAGGCAGCAGUGGGGAAUAUUGCACAAUGGGGGAAACCCUGAUGCAGCGACGCCGCGUGAAGGAAGAAGUAUCUCGGUAUGUAAACUUCUAUCAGCAGGGAAGAUAGUGACGGUACCUGACUAAGAAGCCCCGGCUAACUACGUG
rnacentral:rRNA from 1 species